rnacentral:rRNA from 1 species
CUCGUAGGCGGUUUGUCGCGUCUGCUGUGAAAACUGGAGGCUCAACCUCCAGCCUGCAGUGGGUACGGGCAGACUAGAGUGCGGUAGGGGAGAUUGGAAUUCCUGGUGUAGCGGUGGAAUGCGCAGAUAUCAGGAGGAACACCGAUGGCGAAGGCAGAUCUCUGGGCCGUAACUGACGCUGAGGAGCGAAAGCGUGGGGAGCGAACA